CAGACUAAUGGGCCGUACCUGCUUACCCAUUUUCCCCUUUCUAUUUUUCUAACCCUAGACUGCUUUGCUGUUGCUGAUUCACGACUACAAUAGCAGAGGGCGACAACGACUUCACGACCUCGGCGAGCGGCAACGACGGCUCCUCUCCUCGGCAUUGUUGACCUUCAUUCAGGGAUGGUGUAAUACCGAAAUCGUAUCGAAUCGUACCGAACCAAAUAAGAAAAUACAGAACUGUACCGAACUACUUUGGUACGGUAUUUGAUAUGCACAAUUGAUAUACCGAAUGCCGAAGUACCAAACCGUAAUUCAUAAAUAUCGUACCGAAUUCCCACCCCUACUAUCUGUAUACGGGUAACCUCGGGGUCAACAUAUACCUCGAGUUCUCGAUGAGUCAAACGAAGUAAGAAGUAUGAAUGUAUGAGAUAGAGACUGCAUUUGAGAAUUCUUUGAAUCGAGGCCGGAAUGAGGUGCUCGCCGCCUGGCCUAACAAGACAACACCCCCGAACGAGCUCAAGACCUCAGAAAGCACUACAAACGGUUGCACACGACUAACAGAGGGCCGUGAUCGCACUCAACCGAGUAUUACGGCGUGGAUCUCACCCGACGUCGAUAGCUUAUCAGUGAUUGAUGUACAAGGAGGAUUUUUACCUUUUUUAGAAUUCUGGUAAAAUUCCCCUACUAUAUAAAGGGGAAGUUUCUUAUUCAAUAGACACAUUGUAUCACGAAAGAUUCUUAUUUUAAUCAUAGUUCUUCAUACA